AAAAAUUUCUUCAAAUAUAUACUGUAAUGAAAUAUAUUUUUAAUGGAAUGUAUAGUAAUUAUAAAUAUUCUUGUCCAACAUGCAAAAGAUUAAAUUCUGAAAAAAUUGCAACAGCAAAUAGUCUGUAUUUAAAGCUGAUAUUAAUUUAUAGUUUUUGUUAAAGAUACAUCUAAAUAUGUUGCACUCCUACACAGAGAAGAUGGAUUCAUGGCAUAUAGGAAGAGUCAACAUAUACGGUCCAGAUAUGUUCCACUCCCACACAAUGAAGAUGGUUUCAUGGUAGAUGGCACAUUAGGAUGUUUAACGUAUACAGCCUAAAUAUGUUACACUCCUAGACAAUGAAGAUGCUUUCAUGGUAGAUUGAUCACACAUCUGGAUACGUAGCAUAUACAGCCUAAAUAUGUUACACUCCUAGACAAUGAAGAUGCUUUCAUGGUAUAUAGCACACGAAGAUUCGUAUCAUAUACAGCCUAAAUAUGUUACACUCUUCGACAAUGAAUAUGGUUUCAUUGUAGAUAGCACAUUAGGAUAAGUCACAUAUACAGCCUAAAUAUGUAAGACUCCUAUACCAUGAAAGAUGCUUCCAUUGCAGAGAGCACAUUAGGAUUAGUCACAUAUACAGCCUAAAUAUGUAAGACUCCUAUACCAUGAAAGAUGCUUCCAUUGCAGAUGCACAUUAGGAUAAGUCACAUAUUAUACAGUCUAAAUAUGUAACACUCCUAUACCAUGAAAGAUGCUUUCACACAUUAGGAUGUUGCACAUAUACAUCUAAAUAUGUUGCACUCCUACACAGAGAAGAUGGAUUCAUGGCAUAUAGGAAGAGUCAACAUAUACGGUCCAGAUAUGUUCCACUCCCACACAAUGAAGAUGGUUUCAUGGUAGAUGGCACAUUAGGAUGUUUAACGUAUACAGCCUAAAUAUGUUACACUCCUAGACAAUGAAGAUGGUUUCAUGGUAGAUUGAUCACACAUCUGGAUACGUAGCAUAUACAGCCUAAAUAUGUUACACUCCUAGACAAUGAAGAUGCUUUCAUGGUAUAUAGCACACGAAGAUUCGUAUCAUAUACAGCCUAAAUAUGUUACACUCUUCGACAAUGAAUAUGGUUUCAUUGUAGAUAGCACAUUAGGAUUAGUCACAUGUAGGUAUUUAUUCAUUACAAUUUUUUCUUUAAACUAGGUUUAUUAGCUCACCUGGCCCCUAUGGUUUGGGCCAGGUGAGCUUUUCUCAUCACUUGGCGUCCGUUGUCGUCGUCCGUUAAUACAAAAAUCUUCUCCUGAAACUACUGGGCAAAAUUUAACCAAACUUGGCCACAAUCAUCACUAGGGUAUCUAGUUUAAAAAAUGUGUCCGAUGACCCCGCCUGCCAACCAAGAUGGCCGACUUGGCUAAAAAUAGAACAUAGGGGUAAAAUGCAGUUUUUGGCAUAUAUCUCUGAAACUAAAGCAUUUAGAACAAAUCUGAUAAUUGGUAAAAAUGUUUAUCAGGUUAAGAUCUAUCUGCCCUGAAAUUUUCAGAUGAAUCAGACAAGCCGUUGUUGGGUUGCUGCCCCUGAAUUAGUAAUUUUAAGGAAAUUUUGCAGUUUUUUUUGUUAUCUUGAAUAUUAUUAUAGAUAGAGAUAAACUGUAAACAGCAAUAAUGUUCAGCAAAGGCAGAUCUACAAAUAAGUCAACAUGACCAAUAUGGUCAAUUGACCCCAUAAGGAGUUAUUGCCCUUUAAAGUCAAAUUUAACAAUUAUUCGUAAAUUUUUGUAGUCUUUUACAAAAAUCUUCUCUCCUGAAACAACUGAGACAAAUUUAACCAAACUUGGCCACAAUCAUCACUGGGGUAUCUAGUUUAAAAAAUGUGUCCGAUGACCCUGCCUGCCAACAAACAUGUCAGACAUGGCUAAAAGUAGAACUUAGGGGGAAAAUGCAGUUUUUGACUUGUAUCUCUGAACUAAAGCAAAUGUAUAACGGUUGCAUUAUUUCAUGCAUCAUUGUAAAUAAAAAUAUCAGGUGAGCAACACAGGCUCCUUGAAGCCUCUAGUAUUUGUUAGGCAUUAAAAAUCAGUUUUCACUGAAACAACGGAUUGAAGCUUUAUAACAAAUUGGUCUAAAAUUUCUUUUAUUCCUAUUUAUAUCCUAAUGAAGUAUAUUUUAAUAAGAAUGUAUAGUUAUUGUAAAUAUACGUCUCCAAUUUAGGAUUUGACAUCAAACAUGCAUAACAUUAAUUUCUGAAUUGAUUGCAACAGCAAAUAGCUUUGAUUUUGAAGCUGAAACUAAUUUAAAAUAUUUGUUUUUGUUAACAGAUACAGCCUAAAUAUGUAAGACUCCUAUACCAUGAAAGAUGCUUCCAUUGCAGAGAGCACAUUAGGAUUAGUCACAUAUACAGCCUAAAUAUGUAAGACUCCUAUACCAUGAAAGAUGCUUCCAUUGCAGAGAGCACAUUAGGAUUAGUCACAUAUACAGCCUAAAUAUGUAAGACUCCUAUACCAUGAAAGAUGCUUCCAUUGCAGAUGCACAUUAGGAUAAGUCACAUAUUAUACAGUCUAAAUAUGUAACACUCCUAUACCAUGAAAGAUGCUUUCACACAUUAGGAUGUUGCACAUAUACAUCUAAAUAUGUUGCACUCCUACACAGAGAAGAUGGAUUCAUGGCAUAUAGGAAGAGUCAACAUAUACGGUCCAGAUAUGUUCCACUCCCACACAAUGAAGAUGGUUUCAUGGUAGAUGGCACAUUAGGAUGUUUAACGUAUACAGCCUAAAUAUGUUACACUCCUAGACAAUGAAGAUGGUUUCAUGGUAGAUUGAUCACACAUCUGGAUACGUAGCAUAUACAGCCUAAAUAUGUUACACUCCUAGACAAUGAAGAUGCUUUCAUGGUAUAUAGCACACGAAGAUUCGUAUCAUAUACAGCCUAAAUAUGUUACACUCUUCGACAAUGAAUAUGGUUUCAUUGUAGAUAGCACAUUAGGAUUAGUCACAUGUAGGUAUUUAUUCAUUACAAUUUUUUCUUUAAACUAGGUUUAUUAGCUCACCUGGCCCCUAUGGUUUGGGCCAGGUGAGCUUUUCUCAUCACUUGGCGUCCGUUGUCGUCGUCCGUUAAUACAAAAAUCUUCUCCUGAAACUACUGGGCAAAAUUUAACCAAACUUGGCCACAAUCAUCACUAGGGUAUCUAGUUUAAAAAAUGUGUCCGAUGACCCCGCCUGCCAACCAAGAUGGCCGACUUGGCUAAAAAUAGAACAUAGGGGUAAAAUGCAGUUUUUGGCAUAUAUCUCUGAAACUAAAGCAUUUAGAACAAAUCUGAUAAUUGGUAAAAAUGUUUAUCAGGUUAAGAUCUAUCUGCCCUGAAAUUUUCAGAUGAAUCAGACAAGCCGUUGUUGGGUUGCUGCCCCUGAAUUAGUAAUUUUAAGGAAAUUUUGCAGUUUUUUUUGUUAUCUUGAAUAUUAUUAUAGAUAGAGAUAAACUGUAAACAGCAAUAAUGUUCAGCAAAGGCAGAUCUACAAAUAAGUCAACAUGACCAAUAUGGUCAAUUGACCCCAUAAGGAGUUAUUGCCCUUUAAAGUCAAAUUUAACAAUUAUUCGUAAAUUUUUGUAGUCUUUUACAAAAAUCUUCUCUCCUGAAACAACUGAGACAAAUUUAACCAAACUUGGCCACAAUCAUCACUGGGGUAUCUAGUUUAAAAAAUGUGUCCGAUGACCCUGCCUGCCAACAAACAUGUCAGACAUGGCUAAAAGUAGAACUUAGGGGGAAAAUGCAGUUUUUGACUUGUAUCUCUGAACUAAAGCAAAUGUAUAACGGUUGCAUUAUUUCAUGCAUCAUUGUAAAUAAAAAUAUCAGGUGAGCAACACAGGCUCCUUGAAGCCUCUAGUAUUUGUUAGGCAUUAAAAAUCAGUUUUCACUGAAACAACGGAUUGAAGCUUUAUAACAAAUUGGUCUAAAAUUUCUUUUAUUCCUAUUUAUAUCCUAAUGAAGUAUAUUUUAAUAAGAAUGUAUAGUUAUUGUAAAUAUACGUCUCCAAUUUAGGAUUUGACAUCAAACAUGCAUAACAUUAAUUUCUGAAUUGAUUGCAACAGCAAAUAGCUUUGAUUUUGAAGCUGAAACUAAUUUAAAAUAUUUGUUUUUGUUAACAGAUACAGCCUAAAUAUGUAAGACUCCUAUACCAUGAAAGAUGCUUCCAUUGCAGAGAGCACAUUAGGAUUAGUCACAUAUACAGCCUAAAUAUGUAAGACUCCUAUACCAUGAAAGAUGCUUCCAUUGCAGAUGCACAUUAGGAUAAGUCACAUAUUAUACAGUCUAAAUAUGUAACACUCCUAUACCAUGAAAGAUGCUUUCACACAUUAGGAUGUUGCACAUGUAGGUAUUUGGUCAUUACAAUUGUUCUUAAAACUAUGUUUAUGUUUGUUAGGUAAUAAAAAUCCGUUUUUUCCUGAACAGUUUGACAAAAAGAUGCUUUAUGUUAAAAUGGGUCUCGUAAAAGCAGACCUCUGCAGAGAGCAAACUUCAGAUUUUGAUAUAACAUUGAUGAAUUUAAUGGACGCUAAUCUCGUAAAAGCAGAUCCCCCAGCAGAGCUGAUUACAUAGUAUGAUGAAAACUUGUGUUUAUGGUAAAAUGUAUUUAGUUUUUUGUCUGGCUCUAUUUCAUUAUCAACCAAUUUGAAACUUUAUUACAAAUUGGUCUCAAAAAAAAUUUCUUCAAAUAUAUACUGUAAUGAAAUAUAUUUUUAAUGGAAUGUAUAGUAAUUAUAAAUAUUCUUGUCCAACAUGCAAAAGAUUAAAUUCUGAAAAAAUUGCAACAGCAAAUAGUCUGUAUUUAAAGCUGAUAUUAAUUUAUAGUUUUUGUUAAAGAUACAUCUAAAUAUGUUGCACUCCUACACAGAGAAGAUGGAUUCAUGGCAUAUAGGAAGAGUCAACAUAUACUGUCCAGAUAUGUUCCACUCCCACACAAUGAAGAUGGUUUCAUGGUAGAUGGCACAUUAGGAUGUUUAACGUAUACAGCCUAAAUAUGUUACACUCCUAGACAAUGAAGAUGGUUUCAUGGUAGAUUGAUCACACAUCUGGAUACGUAGCAUAUACAGCCUAAAUAUGUUACACUCCUAGACAAUGAAGAUGCUUUCAUGGUAUAUAGCACACGAAGAUUCGUAUCAUAUACAGCCUAAAUAUGUUACACUCUUCGACAAUGAAUAUGGUUUCAUUGUAGAUAGCACAUUAGGAUUAGUCACAUAUACAGCCUAAAUAUGCAAGACUCCUAUACCAUGAAAGAUGCUUCCAUUGCAGAGAGCACAUUAGGAUUAGUCACAUAUACAGCCUAAAUAUGUAAGACUCCUAUACCAUGAAAGAUGCUUCCAUUGCAGAUGCACAUUAGGAUAAGUCACAUAUUAUACAGUCUAAAUAUGUAACACUCCUAUACCAUGAAAGAUGCUUUCACACAUUAGGAUGUUGCACAUAUACAUCUGAAUAUGUUGCACUCCUACACAGAGAAGAUGGAUUCAUGGCAUAUAGGAAGAGUCAACAUAUACGGUCCAGAUAUGUUCCACUCCCACACAAUGAAGAUGGUUUCAUGGUAGAUGGCACAUUAGGAUGUUUAACGUAUACAGCCUAAAUAUGUUACACUCCUAGACAAUGAAGAUGGUUUCAUGGUAGAUUGAUCACACAUCUGGAUACGUAGCAUAUACAGCCUAAAUAUGUUACACUCCUAGACAAUGAAGAUGCUUUCAUGGUAUAUAGCACACGAAGAAUCGUAUCAUAUACAGCCUAAAUAUGUUACACUCUUCGACAAUGAAUAUGGUUUCAUUGUAGAUAGCACAUUAGGAUUAGUCACAUAUACAGCCUAAAUAUGUAAGACUCCUAUACCAUGAAAGAUGCUUCCAUUGCAGAGAGCACAUUAGGAUUAGUCACAUAUACAGCCUAAAUAUGUAAGACUCCUAUACCAUGAAAGAUGCUUCCAUUGCAGAGAGCACAUUAGGAUUAGUCACAUAUGCAACUUAUAUGAUGUUUCAGUAGUAGAAGGUGCAGCAUGGCAGCAGAAGAUGUUAAAUUGAGAAUCGUGAAGAGACAGUUUAAUUCUUUAGAGAAUAAAUAAGAUUAUGGUUUAUAGAUUAAGAUUAUAAAAAUCUCUAAUGUUCAAAAUAUCAGAUGAGAAUUUGCCAAGUGUCCUCAAUAUGUCUACAAUGAUAUAACAAUCAUAAUUAAGCCAAAAGAUCAAUUGUUGGUUGUAAUUAAUGCCAGCUCUAAAUAAGAUCUAAAAAUAGAAACUAUCUUCAAAUUUGACAAGUUACCAUAUCUACAUAUAAAUAAAUUAGAAUAGUCUGUAAAUAUUCUGUAUUUUCCUUUUUGCAUCAUCUUUUGAGUAACCAAAUCAGAACACCCAAUUUGGUGAAAUACUUUUUCCUGUUAUAUCUGUCAUUGCUUUUGUAAGAUAAAAACAAAAAUGUAUAUGCAGUUUUGUUAAAUAUAUUUAAAUUCAAAAUUCAAAAAAAAAAAUCAAUUUCAAAUUAACACAAACAAAAUUGACUUUAACUUAUGGUUUAGUUCAUGCACCCUUUAAUGUAUAUCUUAAAAGUUUUGUUGUGGACUAAGCAAAUAUCAAAUUAUCAUUUCAGAAGUACAUUUUGCUUGCAUGGUAUCAUCUUCACUAACAUUUAACAUAGUGGGUUUCGGAGUUACUGAGGUAGUUCUUAUUGAGGUGUUUGUUGUUUUUUUCUAUAGAGGAAUCAGUGGUUUCUAUGUCUUCAGGAUAUGGUUUUGUCAUUCAAAGGGAAUUGUCAAUGUAAUUCUGAAAUGAUAUACAUUUGGUAUUUUAUUGUCAUUGAAAAAGAAACAAUAUUAGUGCAUGAACAUUUGAACUGUGAAUAUAUAAUAUUUAAACUUUAUAAUUUAUAAUUUUAAAUCGAUUUUGGAAAGUUAUUGUAUCAAAAUUAAAUUGAAUUUGACAGUUUGAUGGAUGGAAAUUGAAAAUUAGAAAUUUAUGUUCUAAAUUUAAGCACAAGUGAAAACAAAAUUCAAAAUAUAAAUUUCUGCUUCAUUAAAACAUUUGGUCAAAUGGAUCUGCAAAAUCACUGAUAGCUAACACGGUUAAUCCACUUAAUUAGGUAGUGUCGUUAAGUAUAGUGUAAUGGAUCCUGUUGAUAUCCUAUUAAAAGUAUUGAUGUAUUAUAAAUCAUAUUCCUAAAUCUAACAUGUCAGAAGCGAGAGACCCCCCCCUUUGUUAUAGAGGGAUCGCCCUUGCAUCAGUGUCUUACAAAUUGUACUGUAAUAUACUGAACUAUAGAUUAGCUCAGUGGGUAGAUGAUAACAAUGUACUGGUUAAGGAACAGAAUGGUUUACCGCAACUUUGUAGUACAAUAGACCAAUUAUCUACGCUUACUAAUUUGAUAGAUGUGUGAAAAACACUUCCUUAAUCAAUCUUUUGCGCCUUUAUUGAUUUUAAAAAGGCUUACGACACUACAAAGGGAUAUUUUAUGGUAUAAACUAAAAAAAAAUUGGUGUUACACAGACUUUUGUUCUGCUAUUAAGUCAAUUUAUACAAAUGUUCUGUAAGAAAAAAACGGUCAUUUCACAGACUGGUUUGAUGUAAACACUGGCUUGAAACAAGGAUGUCCCUUGUCGCUCAUUUUGUUCAACUUGUAUAUUAAUGAUUACCAUUUUUCAAGUCCUUUGACUGCGGAAUAGAAAUUGGUGAUGAAAAACUGUAUUUUAUUAUAUGCUGAUGAUGUUGUUAUUAUAGCAAACGAUGAAAAAGAGCUACAACUUUUGGUAAAUGCUUUUUCUACAUGAUUUGAAGACAAUUGAAUGACAAUUGAUACAAACAAGAGUAACAUUGUACAAUUUAGACCACCAUCUAUACCUAGAUAUGAUGUAAUUUUUAAUUGUAAUGAUCAUACUAUAAAGUCUUCUAGUAAUGAUACUUGGUCUCGUUUUAAACAAGCAUUUAGACUAUAAUAUCACUGCAAAAGCCGUUGCAUCUUAAGCGAAUAGAGCUUUAGGGAUGGUAAUAGCCAAGUGUAAACUUUUAGGGGGUGUUUGUUUCGAUGUAUUUGUAAAAUUAUAUGAAAGUUUGGUUUGUCCUAUAAUAGAAUAUGAAAAGGUAUAUGGGGUGUAAAAAGAUAUUCUUGUAUGAAUUCCUUACAUAAUGGGGCCUAUAGAUUUUCUAGAAGUAGAAAAAUAUGUACCAAACGCUGCAGUUACUGGAGACUUGGGUAUUAUUGUAUUAUACGUUGAUAAUUUUAUUUUAUAUUGCAUUUUGAUUUGUCAAUACACAUAUGUUUUAUGGUGUAGGUCAGAGCACCUGACCCUGGAGACGGGAUUGCGCACUUGGCAUCCACUGACACAGGUUUCUAGAGCUUUUUGAUCGAUUAUAUCGUUUUUUAUCUCUAGUUGUUCCUGGCCGGCCUUGACUGUCUAUGAAGGGGUACAUUUAGUCAAAAGUUGGUUUUGGUGUAUUUAGGAAAAUCAUGGAAGUAUUAUAUUUUACUUCCAUGGGAUAAUAUAUACAUAGGAAUUGUAUGAUUUUGAAUUAUAUAUGCAUAGCAACAAUAAAGAUUUAUUGAAUUUGUGAAUAUUUAUAAUACAAUCUGGCGUCCAUCGAGCAUGACGGGCUGUCCGCAAACUAAGAUUAUGUUUGCAUUGUUUAUAUUUGGCACAAGUAUGUAGUUAAUACCACCUAUUUUUGAUAAGCAGUGGAAAAGUAUUAUUAGUUUGUGGUGUAGAUUAAAUCACAUGAGCUAAGGUCGGAUAAAUGCAAAAGUUCAUUAGUGAGCUGAUAAAAUGAGUAUUAAGCAUAAGUGUGCUGAAAACUGGAACUUUUUAGUAAGGAAAACCUUCUCUGAACUGAAUUCAAGUCAUUUAUCGCGCCCUGAAAAUAUGGACACUAAUUAUGUUGUUAAACUUUUAAUGUCAAAAUGAAUUUCAGUCACAGAAGUGCUUUUCUCAAAUAUAGAUGUGGUGUUGCUCCACUAAGGAUUUAAACUGGGAAAUAUGAAAAUAUUGUUUUAGCUUGUGCCAUAUAUGUUAUAGUUUUAUUGAAGACAAAGCACAUGUUUUAUUAAGAUGUCCUCUUUAUGAAGAUUUUAGAAACCAUUUAUAUUAUGUUGCUGAAACUUAUAAUGAAAAUUUUAAUACUUUAGAUGAUAACCAAAAGUUUGUGUUUUUAUUCUCAGAUGUGUUAUUCUCAGAUGUAAAUAUGAUACAUGUGUUCGAAAACCUGUUAUUUGAUUUUAAAAAGGCGUUGAAAUUUUAUAUAUGGAAAAUACAUGUAGUACUUUAUUUCAUAUUGUUUAAUGUAUUAUAUCUAUGCAUUUUAAUAGUCUUAUUGUUCUGUAUAGAAUGGUUCAUUUUAUUUAGUGUUGUUUUACAAUGUAUAAAUAUCUAUUGUAAUUGUUGAGUAUGACGCAUUCAUAAAACAUUGAAUUAAUUGAAUUGAGUUUGUUAGUAUUACAAUCAAUAUUUGUGUAUGCCUCGCACAAAAAGGUGCAAGCAGGGCCGUACUGGACAUCUUCAGUUAUCAAGGUUUUUUUUUUUAUAACAAACACACUGAGAUCUGGUAUCCAGGAAAUUAAAAUGAAUCAACAAUACUUUCAUGUAUUUUGUACAAUAAUAUUUUUUCUAAUUACACCUUACUCAUGAUGCAGAUCUGUCUUCGUCUAAUACUAUGAUGAUGUACUACAGUGGCAUAAAAGUAGUUACGAUAGGUUUAGGAAGUGUCAUUUUGGUAUUUAUCAUGAUGCAUUAGAAUUAAAUUUCCCCAUGUUUCAAGGAAUAACAUUGAAAAAUAAUUUAUAAGCCUACACUUCUGGCCAGCAGUCUGUUUUAAAUAGUAAGGAUUUCUGUAAAACUGUUCAGGUAUACCUCCUUAGACAAUCUUCCUAGCAUUGGGUAUUGGAAUUUUUCAAUUUUUUACCCACUACAUUUUCAGUUUUUUGUUGGUUGUUCUAUGUCUGCGGGGUCGUCGAUGAUAGAAUUUUUGCUAUUAUUUGAUAUUUCACAUAAAAUACAAUGUAAGAGCAUUUCACCAAUUAUAAAUGCUACGAUUUUCUUUAUGUAUUUAUGCUUAUCCUUGUAUGCAUGUUUAUUGUUUUAAUGAAGAUAAAAUCCGAUGUCCAGGUUAUCGGCAAUAUGAA